UACGGAGGAGGCAAGCGUUAUCCGGAAUUAUUGGGCGUAAAGCGUCCGUAGGUGGAUGUUCAAGUCUUCUGUCAAAGCGCGGAGCUUAACUCCGUAAAGGCAGAGGAAACUGAGCGUCUAGAGUGCGAUAGGGGCAAGGGGAAUUCCCAGUGUAGCGGUGAAAUGCGUAGAUAUUGGGAAGAACACCGGUGGCGAAAGCGCCUUGCUGGGUCUGCACUGACACUGAGGGACGAAAGCUAGGGGAGCGAAAGGG
rnacentral:rRNA from 1 species